rnacentral:rRNA from 1 species
AAUAUUGGUCAAUGGGGGCAACCCUGAUUCAGCCAUGCCGCGUGUGUGAAGAAGGUCUUCGGAUUGUAAUGCACUUUAAUUUUGGAGGAAGGGCUUUAGGUGAAUACCCUGAAGUUUUGACGUUACCAACAGAAUAAGCACCGGCUAACUCUGUGCCAGCAGCCGCGGUAAUACAGAGAGUGCAAGCGUUAAUCGGAAUUACUGGGCGUAAAGCGCGCGUAGGUGGUUCAGUAAGAUGGGUGUGAAAUCCCCGGGCUUAACCUGGGAACUGCUUUCAUAACUUCUGAGCUAGAGUAAGGUAGAGGGUAGGGGAAUUUCCUGUGUAGCGGUGAAAUGCGUAGAUAUAGUAAGGAACACCAGUGGCGAAAGCGACUACCUGGACUGAUACUGACACUGAGGUGCGAAAGCGUGGGGAGCAAAC